GCUGGGUUCGGUGGCAUGUUCCUGUAAUCCAAGUCACUGGGAGGCUGAGGUUGGUGGUUCAAGUGAGCUGAGGAGCUCUGGGCUGCAGCAUACUAUGUUGAACGGGUGUCCACGCUAAGUUCGGUAUCAAUAUGGUGGUGUUCCUGGGGGAGCCCGGAACCACCAGGUUGUCUAAGGAGGGGUGAACCGGCCCAGGUCGGAAACGAAGCAGGUCAAAUCCCCAUGCUGUCCAGUAGUGGGAUAAUACCUGUGAGUAGAUGCUGCAUUGCAGCCUUGGCAAAACAUUGAGACCUAACCUUUU
ensembl:misc_RNA Metazoa_SRP Metazoan signal recognition particle RNA